UGCCAUAUUUUCAUUGACACACUGUAGUGUGGUAGCAGACCUUCAUGCACCUUUGAACCUGGUUGACUCAUUCUUUGAUUUGAUUAACGGUUGCUAUGUCGGUUGCCAAGAAACUACUCUGCGUGAGUUUGCCUCCGAAGUGACAAUAUGAUGUAAACUAGGAAUUAAAAACAUUGAACGUGGAGUCCCUAUGCCAUUAGAAUAUGCAAGGCUUCUUCAGUGGCCUUUGCCCCCUAAAAAGAUUCCCCCCCAUUGUGAAACCACUUCUACCUAUAUUUUCAGUACAAUCAUAGACUCAUUGCCAUCAACAGAGAGAAAGGCUCUGAAGGACAGUGCCACAGAGGGGAUGGAGUCGAGCUGCCACGUGCUUCCUCUUUGGGACUAUGACCCUGCAGUAUUCAGAGUGGCCCCCACUCCCCUGACCUCAGUCCAAAUGAUGCUGAUGCCUAAAAUAAUCGAGGGCUUCUCCUGUUAACCCCCAUUCACCCUCCCUAAAAUCCCCCUCCUCGACUGCCUCAAGACAGACCCCAGAUGCAUCCCUUCUCCCCCUACCUUUAGCUUCAAUGAUCUCCUGCGGGACCCCAAUGGCGGCAGUGGGCACCAGUUGCUGGAGGGCCUGAAGAAAGUGGCCCUGUCUCGCUGCAACUACAGGAAGUUGGUGGGUUCUUCCUAAUGUAACUGCACCAAGGGCAGCGGGCUGAAGUGUCCAAGUCCACUGAGAAAGUGCUAGAGGCAAAGACCAAGACCUCACAGAGGCAGAUCAUAUGUGAAACUCACUGUAUAUAAUAUGUUAAAAGAUGACCUGCCAUUGUAGUAGGCUAGAGUCCAGAUUGUAUUAUUAAGUGGGUAUUGUAUGACAAGGAUGCUUGCUUUUGUAAGUUAGUGGUGUACUGUUUCUUCAUGGGUAUUGUGUUAUCUGAUAAAAACUGACAGCAUUGAUCCGUAUGGAGGUGCAGGCUCAGAUGUGUCGGUGGAGCUGUCAGGGAGAUGAGACCUGCAGGUCUGAGCAGAAGUCUGUGGAGAGCUGGGUACCACCAGGGGAAAGACCAUAUGUUCAGAAGCAGGAAAACGUAUACCCCCAGGCAAGAACAUGUUUGCCUUCUCACUUACUUUACCAUAACCAACACUACAUAAACAACCAUCUGAAAACACACAUUUUUAGUGGUGAAUUUCAUUAUGGUGCUUUUUAGACGUUUUGAUUUGUUAUUGUUUUGUUUUUUCAUCUUAUGUAUGUUGUAUUGUAAAUAUUUCAGUUUUUAUUUUCC